rnacentral:misc_RNA from 1 species
GAGGAAGAGGCUAUAUGAACAACAGAUAGAGCAGCUCGGCAACUUCCAAUUGCGGAUUCAUGAUCAGAUGAUAUUACUAGAAGGUGCAAAAGCCACAACUGAGACUGUAGACGCAUUGAGGACCGGGGCAGCUGCAAUGAAAGCAAUGCAGAAAGCAACGAAUAUCGAUGAUGUGGAUAAAACAAUGGAUGAGAUCAAUGAACAAACUGAGAACAUGAAACAGAUCCAAGAAGCACUAUCAAAUCCAAUUGGUGCUGCAGCCGAUUUUGACGAGGAUGAACUGGAAGCGGAACUUGAGGAGCUAGAAGGUGCUGAGUUGGAAGAGCAACUUCUUCAACCUGCAACAACUGCUCCUGCUGCUCCAAUUCCAGUCCCUGCAGGCCGACAAACUGCUCGACCCGCUCCUCAGAAACGAACUGCUGAAGAAGAUGAGCUGGCAGCUCUGCAGGCCGAGAUGGCACUUUGAUGUGAUAUCCGACAAUGUUCUGAAGCAGGUGGCAUUGCCAGAUGAGAAUUCGAAAGAGAGGCGAUGUGAAGAAUUGGCCAGAUGUUCCGAAGAUUUGAACAUUUUUUGCUAUGUUCAGCAAAGCCUGAUGAACAGGUCUCUUUGUGAUAAUAUCAGACAAUAAUGCAAAUUUAAUUUAGGUCUUGUAUACUCUGUAAAUGAAUAUAACAUUACUGUGGUUAGUAUUUGACCUAAUAUGGAGCUAAUGUGUAAGUGUCUCAAUUACACGAAUGCUG